rnacentral:lncRNA from 1 species
UUAAGGUUUUUUCUACUUCUUAAUAUCAGCUAGUAUUAUAUAGCACAAUAUAUAAAGAUAAUUUGUAAUUUAGAGCAUAUUAUAUUAAGAUGAUUUGUAAUUUAAAAGAGAUUAUGGUAUAUAAUGUCAGCUGCUACUAAGACUAUCAUAUAAGCCUUCUACAUCUAUUUUUGAAUCGGUCUAACUUUUCUACUAUUUUAA